rnacentral:rRNA from 1 species
UACGUAGGGUGCAAGCGUUAAUCGGAAUUACUGGGCGUAAAGCGUGCGCAGGCGGUUUUGUAAGUCUGUCGUGAAAUCCCCGGGCUCAACCUGGGAAUUGCGAUGGAGACUGCAAGGCUAGAAUCUGGCAGAGGGGGGUAGAAUUCCACGUGUAGCAGUGAAAUGCGUAGAGAUGUGGAGGAACACCGAUGGCGAAGGCAGCCCCCUGGGUCAAGAUUGACGCUCAUGCACGAAAGCGUGGGGAGCAAACGA